rnacentral:rRNA from 1 species
AGCAGUCGCCGCGGUAAUACGAAGGGUGCAAGCGUUAAUCGGAAUUACUGGGCGUAAAGCGUGCGUAGGCGGUGAGUUAAGUCUGCUGUGAAAUCCCCGGGCUCAACCUGGGAAUGGCAGUGGAUACUGGCUCGCUAGAGUGUGUCAGAGGAUGGUGGAAUUCCCGGUGUAGCGGUGAAAUGCGUAGAGAUCGGGAGGAACAUCAGUGGCGAAGGCGGCCAUCUGGGACAACGCUGACGCUGAGGCACGAAAGCGUGGGGAGCGAACAGGAUUAGAUACCCCCGUAGUCCCUGUCUCUUAUAC